UACGGAGGGGGCGAGCGUUAUUCGGAAUUAUUGGGCGUAAAGGGCGCGUAGGCGGCUUGAUGUGUCAAAGGUGAAAUCCCUCGGCUCAACUGAGGAACUGCCUUUGAAACUGUCUGGCUUGAGGCCGGGAGAGGGUAGCGGAAUUCCCAGUGUAGCGGUGAAAUGCGUAGAUACUGGGAGGAACACCGGUGGCGAAGGCGGCUACCUGGACCGGUAUUGACGCUGAUGCGCGAAAGCCAGGGGAGCAAACGGG
rnacentral:rRNA from 1 species